rnacentral:rRNA from 1 species
AGAGUUUGAUCAUGGCUCAGGACGAACGCUGGCGGCGUGCCUAAUACAUGCAAGUCGUACGAAUUGAUUAAGGAGCUUGCUCCUUAUGACGUUAGUGGCGAACGGGUGAGUAACACGUGGGUAACCUACCUUCAAGAGGGGGAUAACAUCCGGAAACGGGUGCUAAUACCGCAUAGUUUCAGCUUCCGCAUGGAAGCCGAAGGAAAGACGGCCUUUGUGCUGUCACUUGGAGAUGGACCCGCGGCGCAUUAGUUAGUUGGUAGGGUAACGGCCUACCAAGACGAUGAUGCGUAGCCGACCUGAGAGGGUGAUCGGCCACAUUGGGACUGAGACACGGCCCAAACUCCUACGGGAGGCAGCAGUAGGGAAUCUUCCGCAAUGGACGAAAGUCUGACGGAGCAACGCCGCGUGAGUGAAGAAGGUUUUCGGAUCGUAAAACUCUGUUGUUGGAGAAGAACAAGUAGGAGAGUAACUGCUCUUACCUUGACGGUACCCAACCAGAAAGCCACGGCUAACUACGUGCCAGCAGCCGCGGUAAUACGUAGGUGGCAAGCGUUGUCCGGAUUUAUUGGGCGUAAAGCGAGCGCAGGCGGUUCCUUAAGUCUGAUGUGAAAGCCCACGGCUCAACCGUGGAAGGUCAUUGGAAACUGGGGAACUUGAGUGCAGAAGAGGAGAGUGGAAUUCCAUGUGUAGCGGUGAAAUGCGUAGAUAUAUGGAGGAACACCAGUGGCGAAGGCGACUCUCUGGUCUGUAACUGACGCUGAGGCUCGAAAGCGUGGGGAGCAAACAGGAUUAGAUACCCUGGUAGUCC